rnacentral:rRNA from 1 species
CAAUAGCGUAUAUUAAAGUUGUUGCGGUUAAAAAGCUCGUAGUUGGAUUUCUGCUGAGAACGACCGGUCCGCCCUUUGGGUGUGUAUCUGGCUCUUUCUUGGCAUCUUCUUGGUGAACGUUGCUGCACUUGACUGUGUGGAGCGCUACCCAGGACUUUUACUUUGAGGAAAUUAGAGUGUUUCAAGCAGGCAUACGCCUUGAAUACAUUAGCAUGGAAUAAUAAGAUAGGACCUCGGUUCUAUUUUGUUGGUUUCUAGAGCUGAGGUAAUGAUUAAUAGGGAUAGUUGGGGGCAUUCGUAUUUAACUGUCAGAGGUGAAAUUCUUGGAUUUCUGGAAGACGAACUACUGCGAAAGCAUUUACCAAGGAUGUUUUCAUUAA